rnacentral:tRNA from 1 species
GCGGGGGCUCAAGGGGGAGCGCGGCCUAACAAGGUCACAGACAGGUUCGAAUCCUGCACCCGCUCCA